rnacentral:rRNA from 1 species
AACGAACGCUGGCGGCAUGCCUAACACAUGCAAGUCGAACGAGACCUUCGGGUCUAGUGGCGCACGGGUGCGUAACGCGUGGGAAUCUGCCCUUGGGUUCGGGAAUAACAGUUAGAAAUGACUGCUAAUACCGGAUGAUGACUUCGGUCCAAAGAUUUAUCGCCCAAGGAUGAGCCCGCGUAGGAUUAGCUAGUUGGUGAGGUAAAAGCUCACCAAGGCGACGAUCCUUAGCUGGUCUGAGAGGAUGAUCAGCCACACUGGGACUGAGACACGGCCCAGACUCCUACGGGAGGCAGCAGUGGGGAAUAUUGGACAAUGGGCGAAAGCCUGAUCCAGCAAUGCCGCGUGAGUG